rnacentral:misc_RNA from 1 species
GUGAAUCAUCGAAUUUUUGAACGCAAAUUGCGCCUUUUUCGGAAGGCAUGUCUGUUUGAGGGCACCGUUUAACAAAUAAUGUGCAGCGUUUUUUGUUGACCACGUUGAUGAGCUUUCCAAGAAUUUUAAUUUUUUGGUGGCGAAUAAGGAACAGCGUGAAAGUUUUUUUCAGUUCGAGUGUAGAAAAAUUUUUGUUGGGGUUGUGAAAAAACUUAAUCGCGCAAUGGGUGUGGCA